rnacentral:rRNA from 1 species
AUUGAACGCUGGCGGCAGGCCUAACACAUGCAAGUCGGACGGUAGCACAGAGGAGCUUGCUCUUCGGGUGACGAGUGGCGGACGGGUGAGUAAUGUCUGGGAAACUGCCCGAUGGAGGGGGAUAACUACUGGAAACGGUAGCUAAUACCGCAUAACGUCGCAAGACCAAAGUGGGGGACCUUCGGGCCUCACACCAUCGGAUGUGCCCAGAAGGGAUUAGCUGGUAGGCGGGGUAACGGCCCACCUAGGCGACGAUCCCUAGCUGGUCAGAGAGGAUGACCAGCCACACUGGAACUGAGACACGGUCCAGACUCCUACGGGAGGCAGCAGUGGGGAAUAUUGCACAAUGGGCGCAAGCCUGAUGCAGCCAUGCCGCGUGUAUGAAGAAGGCCUUCGGGUUGUAAAGUACUUUCAGCGGGGAGGAAGGUGCUGAGGUUAAUAAGCUCAGCAAUUGACGUUACCCGCAGAAGAAGCACCGGCUAACUCCGUGCCAGCCGCCGCGGUAA